AUACGGAGGGUGCGAGCGUUAAUCGGAAUUACUGGGCGUAAAGCGUACGUAGGCGGUUGGUUAAGUUAGAUGUGAAAGCCCCGGGCUUAACCUGGGAACUGCAUUUAAAACUGGCGAACUAGAGUUGGGUAGAGGGGAGUGGAAUUUCAGGUGUAGCGGUGAAAUGCGUAGAGAUCUGAAGGAACACCAGUGGCGAAGGCGACUCCCUGGACUCGAACUGACGCUGAGGUACGAAAGCGUGGGUAGCAAACGGGAUUAGAUACCCUAGUAGUCC
rnacentral:rRNA from 1 species